rnacentral:rRNA from 1 species
AUUGAACGCUGGCGGCAGGCCUAACACAUGCAAGUCGAAAGAGUGGCGGACGGGUGAGUAAUGUCUGGGAAACUGCCUGAUGGAGGGGGGUAACUACAGGAAAAGGGAGCUAAUACCGCCUACCAUCCGAUGUGCGCAGAUGGGAUUAGCUAGUUGGUGGGGUAAUGGCUCACCAAGGCGACGAUCCAUAGCUGGUCUGAGAGGAUGACCAGACACACUGGAACGUAGACACGGUCCAGACUCCUACGGGAGGCAGCAGUGGGUAAUAUUGCACAAUGGGCGCAAGCCUGAUGCAGCCAUGCCGCGUGUGUGAAGACGGCCUUCGGGUUGUAAAGCACUUUCAGCGAGGAGGCGUUACUCGCAGAAGAAGCACCGGCUAACUCCGUGCCAGCCGCCGCGGUAAUUC